rnacentral:rRNA from 1 species
UACGUAGGGGGCAAGCGUUGUCCGGAUUUAUUGGGCGUAAAGAGCGUGUAGGCGGUUUGGUAGGUCCGUUGUGAAAACUCGAGGCUCAACCUCGAGACGCCGAUGGAAACCAUCAGACUAGAGUCCGGAAGAGGAGAGUGGAAUUCCUGGUGUAGCGGUGAAAUGCGCAGAUAUUAGGAGGAACACCGGUGGCGAAGGCGCUGCUCUGGGCCGAAACUGACGCUGAGGAGCGAAAGCGUGGGUAGCAAACAGG